GCGAAGGUGGCGGAAUUGGUAGACGCGCUAGCUUCUUCAGGUGUUAGUGUCCUUUACGGACGUGGGGGUUCAAGUCCCCUCGCACCA
rnacentral:tRNA from 1 species